UUGCGGUUAAAAAGCUCGUAGUUGGAUCUCGGCAAGUAGAGGGCGGUAUGCUUCGUAGCAUUACUGCCCCAUUACUUGUAGUUUUGCCAGAGGUUCCUGGGUGCUCUUAAUCGAGUGUCUAGGGAUGCUGGCAGGUUUACUUUGAAAAAAUUAGAGUGCUCAAAGCAGGCUAUUACGCUUGAAUAUUCGUGCAUGGAAUAAUAGAAUAGGAAGUUGUUUCUAUUUUGUUGGUUUUCGGAAAUCGACUUAAUGAUUAAUAGGGACAGUCGGGGGCAUUUGUAUUCAAACGACAGAGGUGAAAUUCUUGGACCGUUUGAAGACAAACUACUGCGAAAGCAUUUGCCAAGAAUGUUUUCAUUAAUCAAGAACGAAAGUUAGAGGUUCGAAGGCGAUUAGAUACCGCCCUAGUUCUAACCAUAAACGAUGCCAGCUAGCGAUCUGAGGACGUUUUUUUUGUAGACUCCUCAGGAAGCUUCCGGGAAACCAAAGCGUGUGGGUUCCGGGGGAAGUAUGGUUGCAAAGCUGAAACUUAAAGGAAUUGACGGAAGGGCACCACCAGGAGUGGAGCCUGCGGCUUAAUUUGACUC
rnacentral:rRNA from 1 species